rnacentral:lncRNA from 10 species
CCAAAGAUUUAAAACAAGCUUUAAAAGGAUCAAGCUGACAACCUGAUGGGCAGAUAAAUUAACUUCCUGACAGAACAUGGCUCUUUUAAAAAGGAAGACAAAAAGUCCACACUGCCAGGACUAUAAUAUCAAUGAUAUCUAGCAUAUAACAAGAGUUUCUAGAUAUGCAGAGAAGCAGAAAAAAGUGACUCUUAACCAGAAAAAUGAAACUAUAAAUACAAACACACUCAAAGUCACAAGUGAUGCCCUGGCUCCCACUCUUGUUCCCUCGACAGUCCUUUCUCUGGGCAGCAAGCCAGAGUGGUCCUCUCAGAAUUGGCUGUGACAGCCUUUCCCCCUAACUCACAUGGAGACUAAUAACAUAUUUUUUCAGUUGCUCAGUGCCUACAUCUGCCCAAUUGUAUUCAACCUCAGAAAUCAUGGCAGUUUGGAGUAAGUCUCCUGGAAAACAAGUGUGGCACCUGACUGAGGAUGUGUAGUGUUCAUCCGGGCUGAGGUGUUUUCUGAAGGGGAAGGGGCAGGCGAGAGCCGUGUGGCAGAGGAAAUCUUCGCUGUGGGUCCUAUUCUGGGAGUAUGGGGGGACUUGGCAUGGUGGAAGUCCUGGAUGGACCACAGGAACGUCACCUCUUAAUGCUGUUCAAAAAGAGGAAGCUCAUCCGUCGGAGGCCACAAGGCCCUCUGCCAGCGUGCCGAGACAGGUGGUCCAGCACCCAGAAGUUCAAGACCAGCCUAGGCAACAUAGCAAGACCCCCCAUCUCUACAAAAAAAUUGAAAAAUUAGCUAGAUAUGGGGUUCAUACCUGUGGUUCCAGCUUCUCAGGAGGCUGAGGCAGGAGAUUUGCCUGAGCCCAGGAGUUUGAGGCUGCAGUGAGCUGUGAUUGCACCACUGC